rnacentral:rRNA from 1 species
GACGAACGCUGGCGGCGUGCUUAACACAUGCAAGUCGAACGGAAAGGCCUCUUUCGGGGGGUACUCGAGUGGCGAACGGGUGAGUAACACGUGAGUAACCUGCCCUUGACUUUGGGAUAACUUCAGGAAACUGGGGCUAAUACCGGAUAGGAGCUCCUGCUGCAUGGUGGGGGUUGGAAAGUUUCGGCGGUUGGGGAUGGACUCGCGGCUUAUCAGCUUGUUGGUGGGGUAGUGGCUUACCAAGGCUUUGACGGGUAGCCGGCCUGAGAGGGUGACCGGCCACAUUGGGACUGAGAGACGGCCCAGACUCCUACGGGAGGCAGCAGUGGGGAAUAUUGCACAAUGGGUGGAGGCCUGAUGCAGCAACGCCGUGUGCGGGAUGACGGCCUUCGGGUUGUAAACCGCUUUCGCUCAUGACGAAGCUUUGUGUGACGGUAGUGGGUAAAGAAGCACCGGCUAACUACGUG